rnacentral:misc_RNA from 1 species
CUGAGUACUACACUCUCUACCCUUUGUGAACUAUUAUACCUGUUGCUUCGGCGGCGCCCGCGAGGGUGCCCGCCGGUCUCAUCAGAAUCUCUGUUUUCGAACCCGACGAUACUUCUGAGUGUUCUUAGGCGAACUGUCA